UCCACGGUUUGUGCGACGCAGCUAACGCAUUAAGCGCCCCGCCUGGGGAGUACGAUCGCAAGAUUAAAACUCAAAGGAAUUGACGGGGCCCCGCACAAGCAGCGGAGCAUGCGGCUUAAUUCGACGCAACGCGAAGAACCUUACCAAGGCUUGACAUAUACAGGAAUACGGCAGAGAUGUCGUAGCCGCAAGGUCUGUAUACAGGUGGUGCAUGGUUGUCGUCAGCUCGUGUCGUGAGAUGUUGGGUUAAGUCCCGCAACGAGCGCAACCCUCGUUCUGUGUUGCCAGCAUUUAGUUGGGGACUCACAGGAGACUGCCGGGGUUAACUCGGAGGAAGGUGGGGAUGACGUCAAAUCAUCAUGCCCCUUAUGUCUUGGGCUGCACGCAUGCUACAAUGGCUGGUACAAACGGCUGCAAUACCGCAAGGUGGAGCGAAUCCGAGAAAGCCAGUCUCAGUUCGGAUUGGGGUCUGCAACUCGACCCCAUGAAGUCGGAGUUGCUAGUAAUCGUAGAUCAGCAACGCUAC
rnacentral:rRNA from 1 species